rnacentral:rRNA from 1 species
UUUCUUAUCAAAGCUUUUGCGGUAUAGGAUGGACCCGCGUCUGAUUAGCUAGUUGGUAAGGUAACGGCUUACCAAGGCGACGAUCAGUAGCCGACCUGAGAGGGUGAUCGGCCAACAUUGGAACUGAGACACGGUCCAAACUCCUACGGGAGGCAGCAGUGGGGAAUAUUGCACAAUGGGCGAAAGCCUGAUGCAGCAACGCCGCGUGAGCGAUGAAGGCCUUCGGGUCGUAAAGCUCUGUCCUCAAGGAAGAUAAUGACGGUACUUGAGGAGGAAGCCCCGGCUAACUACGUGCCAGCAGCCGCGGUAAUACGUAGGGGGCUAGCGUUAUCCGGAAUUACUGGGCGUAAAGGGUGCGUAGGUGGUUUCUUAAGUCAGAGGUGAAAGGCUACGGCUCAACCGUAGUAAGCCUUUGAAACUGAGAAACUUGAGUGCAGGAGAGGAGAGUAGAAUUCCUAGUGUAGCGGUGAAAUGCGUAGAUAUUAGGAGGAAUACCAGUUGCGAAGGCGGCUCUCUGGACUGUAACUGACACUGAGGCACGA